UAGGGGUAUAGUGAAUUGAAGGUGAACAGGUUUGCAAAUAUCUCACGGCCUGUAUUAGUAUCUUAUAAAAUAUUUAUACUGAGAGACGGGUAGUCGGUCGAUUAAUUUAAAGUCUUUAUCAAUUUAGAAAAUAUUAGGAGUCAGCGUAACAAGCUGAAAGUUGUAAGGUUUGUAUGAUUGAAAUGUCUCACGGCGUGAAGCUGUAGUUAGUAUUUUAAGCCGUUGUAAAUUAGUAGUUAUUUGGAAUUGUGACGUUCCCGGUGGGAAAAGUAGUGGCUUGAAGAUUGUUAAAGUUUCAAAUUUAUUAGAACUUAUAGUUAAAAGAAUACUUACAAUUAUUUUAACAGCAUUGAUUUUUGAUUAUUGUGUUGACGAACUAGCCGAGGUGUUACAAGAGUGCCAUGAGAAUCAACUCCCCCUUCAACUCCCCAAAGACCUGUCAACCAGCAGUCUACAAAAAGGGGAGCUCGCCUGCUGCUCGCCGCCUUCCGCCUUUCGCCUUCUGCAUUCACCUGUUCCUAUCAUGGCCCGGGGUCUUGCUCUGCUGUAUCCGUUCUCUCUCCACAUGUUACUCAUUUCUAUUAUAGAUUCCUCGCACUACUAGUACUAUCUGUUCCCGAUAGAUCCUUCCAGAAUUAGGCUAUGGAGUUCCUUUCCUGAGGCAAUAUGACGGUGAUACCCAACCCACUUGCUCUGCCUGUCCUCACCUAAGCUCCACCAGUCGUAUUGCUUCAUUGAUUCCCCCCUCCUUCCUCGAGAACCGUUCGUCACUAUGUUAGAUCCUCGGGAUGACCAUGCAAGAUGGUUCAGUUCUAGUUGACAUUCCACUAUAUGAAAAGACCAGAUCGCCACUUUAUAUUCUUAUUCCUUGAGAGAGAGAGAGAACCGGAACAGCGACCUCGUGAAUCAUCCUAUUUAAUCGCUUCACCCUCGCCACAUUCGCUACUACUUCAAUUAUUGGGGUAAAUGGACAUUAAGACUAAGUUAUGAGAUAUGAGAGUUAAAUUAAUAUUGUAGUCCUAUUUAACCCAAUUAUUUUACAACCCUUUA